GCAGCUGCUGGCCGGGCAGGGCGUCGAUCUCGUCGACGUCAGCUCCGGCGGGCUCGACCCCCGCCAGCAGAUC
rnacentral:tRNA from 1 species